rnacentral:rRNA from 2 species
GUGCCUAAUACAUGCAAGUCGAACGAAACUUUCUUACACCGAAUGCUUGCAUUCACCGUAAGAAGUUGAGUGGCGGACGGGUGAGUAACACGUGGGUAACCUGCCUAAAAGAAGGGGAUAACACUUGGAAACAGGUGCUAAUACCGUAUAUCUCUAAGGAUCGCAUGAUCCUUAGAUGAAAGAUGGUUCUGCUAUCGCUUUUAGAUGGACCCGCGGCGUAUUAACUAGUUGGUGGGGUAACGGCCUACCAAGGUGAUGAUACGUAGCCGAACUGAGAGGUUGAUCGGCCACAUUGGGACUGAGACACGGCCCAAACUCCUACGGGAGGCAGCAGUAGGGAAUCUUCCACAAUGGACGCAAGUCUGAUGGAGCAACGCCGCGUGAGUGAAGAAGGUCUUCGGAUCGUAAAACUCUGUUGUUAGAGAAGAACACGAGUGAGAGUAACUGUUCAUUCGAUGACGGUAUCUAACCAGCAAGUCACGGCUAACUACGUGCCAGCAGCCGCGGUAAUACGUAGGUGGCAAGCGUUGUCCGGAUUUAUUGGGCGUAAAGGGAACGCAGGCGGUCUUUUAAGUCUGAUGUGAAAGCCUUCGGCUUAACCGGAGUAGUGCAUUGGAAACUGGAAGACUUGAGUGCAGAAGAGGAGAGUGGA